CAACCUCCACUGCUCAGCCAUAGGUGAGGACAUGAAACUGUACUCUUCGGAGAAGCACCCCAUCCACUACUAUGCCAGGGGGCCACAAUGCUGCACUCUUGGACCUCAGCAAGAGAUUUCUGCCAGUCCUUUUACCCAAAUUACUUCAAUGGGAGGUCCUGUGGAGGAACGGAACAUAAUGCAAGGAAAGAAUGCACUCCAGUGUUGACCUCUGGCUCUUCCCUGAAAG
rnacentral:lncRNA from 1 species